rnacentral:lncRNA from 1 species
AAUAACAUAUAAUUUUAUAUAAUUAUAAAAUAUUUUUUAAUUUUAAAUGAAUAUAAUUAUUAUCUAUAUAAAUCUUUUAUGCAAGUGUAUGUAUCUAUGUAUGUAUGUAUAUAUAUAUAUAUAUAUAUAUAUGCAUCAAUUACAAUCAUUCAUAAAGUUUUUCUUUUCAUUAACUAACACAAUCAUGACUUAAGUUUUGAUUCAGCUUCUAAUACAAUUUUUGUAUUUUGUAUAUAUGUAUUUGUAAUGUAAUGAUAAUAAUAAGAAUCAUAAACACAAAAAAGACAUGCAUUAAAGAGAUAGACAAGGAACAUAAACAAAUUUUCUCAUCAAGUCAAACUUUUUUCAAAUUCAAAUUUCAAUUUCUUUUCACCAAAGAUGUCUCCAAAGCCGUAUGCAAAAUUUGACCUGAAAUACUGACGUAGUUCUUAAAGAGUGCUCACAAAGACAGAAACAUCUGCAAAGCAAAUUAUAAUCUAACAAAUCAGCUCACAUCUGAUUUUUCCAUUUUGAUUUUCCUCACAUUGAAUGAUGCAAAUUCCAACACAAGUUCUUACUACCAUAUGUAUGUGUGUGUGUGUGUGUUUACAUAUAUAUAUAUAUAUAUAUAUAUAUGAUUAAAAAGAGAGAGAUGUGUGUGUUUAUAUAUAUAUAUAUAUAUAUAUAUAUAUAAAUAAAAAGAGAGAGAUGUGUGUGAAUUUUGAGGUACAAUACCAACACACAACCGACGGUGGCAAGCCGAAGCUUCCAAAGGCAUCGAGAACAGCAACCACAGCAACCCCGUUGUCGACAACGGAAAUUGAGGUCAAUCGCAACCGUCUUCGCGUGCCAAUGUGUAUGCCCAUCCUCAAUCGCACUCACUCACUUACCCCCACUCCCGCACUCCCCCACGGCAUCCAUCC